UUGACAUGAACAUCCAGCAUUUAGUCCGAUGCCAGUGGAGUUCCUCAUAGUUAAACACAGGGACAGGGGCUGGGUGUGUGUUGUGGUGGGGUGGGGUGAGGGUUUUGAGAAAAGUGGGUCUAUAACAUUAUUUUCAGUACAUAAAAUACCCGGUCUUUCUGACACAAACAAGUCAGAUUGUUAUCAAACAAAAAUUAAUUUUCGGUCCUGACCCAUUUUUGGGGACGGCCAUUUUUAACAUUCACCAUGUGUUCUUUCCAUGCCAUGUGCAUGCACAUGUAUAUAUUGGAGGGGGGAUGGGUCAUUUUAAUCAAAAUCAUUUAUAUUGGCAUAUCCAAGGAAGGACACUCCAUGUGGCUUCUUUGUCACUUCCGACAUAUGCUCUCGGUGCCAAGGGAAUUUGUGCACACGUGAGCCUAUGAAAACAUGGCAAGUGUGUGUAUGUGAGAUUUUGUUAUUAAUGUGAGAAAACAGCUUAGUCAUUAGAUUGUGUGUUAACAAAAUGUUAAGGUGCUUCCCAAACUUACUAGUCUUAUAACUCUCUUUUUUUUAUUGCUUAUCCAAAUAUACCGGUAUUAUGGAGAUAUUCAGAAUGGUUUUUAGUCAAGAAACCACAGAGGACACAUAUUGUAUGGUUCAGAUUAUGUAUUUGUAAUUAGUUCAUGUUGCUUCACUCCUAACUGCCGGCUUAAACGAUCGAUAAUCGGAAAUUUCAUUGAUGGGAAAAAUUAUCAAUGAGUAUUGAUAUGAAAAUGGUGUCAUCGAUAAUAACAUACAUAUACUUUGUGAUGAAAUAAAUUUUGGUAUUUAUGCAUUCCAAAAUUAUGUUCAG